CCUACUAGAUAGGAACAGCCUUAAGGGAACGGUUCCUCCUAACAUCAGCAACUUGGUCAAUCUGAACGAGCUGAACUUGGCCAGCAACCAGCUCACUAGACAGUUGCCAGAUCUAAGCAGCAUGACCAAAUUGAAUGUCGUGGAUUUAAGCAACAACUCCUUCACCGUUUCAGCAGCCCCAAACUGAUUUGAAUAAAGCAGCUGAGACGUUGGAGAUCAACUAAUACAUCCAUGAGUUCAUCUCU